rnacentral:rRNA from 1 species
AGUCGAACGAUGAAGCCCAGCUUGCUGGGCGGAUUAGUGGCGAACGGGUGAGUAACACGUGAGUAACCUGCCCUUGACUCUGGGAUAAGCCCGGGAAACUGGGUCUAAUACCGGAUAGGAGCGCCUGUCGCAUGACGGGUGCUGGAAAGAUCUUUCGGUCAUGGAUGGACUCGCGGCCUAUCAGCUUGUUGGUGAGGUAACGGCUCACCAAGGCGACGACGGGUAGCCGGCCUGAGAGGGUGACCGGCCACACUGGGACUGAGACACGGCCCAGACUCCUACGGGAGGCAGCAGUGGGGAAUAUUGCACAAUGGGCGAAAGCCUGAUGCAGCGACGCCGCGUGAGGGAUGACGGCCUUCGGGUUGUAAACCUCUUUCAGCAGGGAAGAAGCGAAAGUGACGGUACCUGCAGAAGAAGCACCGGCUAACUACGUGCCAGCAGCCGCGGUAAUACGUAGGGUGCGAGCGUUAUCCGGAAUUAUUGGGCGUAAAGAGCUCGUAGGCGGUUUGUCACGUCUGUCGUGAAAGUCCGGGGCUUAACCCCGGAUCUGCGGUGGGUACGGGCAGACUAGAGUGCAGUAGGGGAGACUGGAAUUCCUGGUGUAGCGGUGGAAUGCGCAGAUAUCAGGAGGAACACCGAUGGCGAAGGCAGGUCUCUGGGCUGUAACUGACGCUGAGGAGCGAAAGCAUGGGGAGCGAACAGGAUUAGAUACCCUGGUAGUCCAUGCCGUAAACGUUGGGCACUAGGUGUGGGGACCAUUCCACGGUUUCCGCGCCGCAGCUAACGCAUUAAGUGCCCCGCCUGGGGAGUACGGCCGCAAGGCUAAAACUCAAAGGAAUUGACGGGGGCCCGCACAAGCGGCGGAGCAUGCGGAUUAAUUCGAUGCAACGCGAAGAACCUUACCAAGGCUUGA